rnacentral:lncRNA from 10 species
CCAGAGCUUAUUAUUACUCAAAUCAGUCUUGCUGAACAUUUGUGGAUCAGAGUUUUUAAGGAUAAUUUGGUGGGUGGGGGAAGGCCAGUGAGUUGAGAGUGCUGAUUGGUUGGGUCAGACAUGAAAUCGUAGGGAAUUGAAGCUGUCUUCUUGGGCUGAGUCAGUCCCUGGGUGGGGGGCCACAAGAUCAGGGGGCCACAAGAUCAGAUGAGCCAGUUUAUUGAUCUGGGUGGUGCCAGCUGAUCCAUCAGGUUCCGGGUCUGCAAAAUAUCUCAAGCACUGAUCUUAGGAACAGUUUAGGGAGGGUCAGAAUCUUGUAGCCUCCAACUGCAUAACUCCUAAACCAUAAUGUCUAAUCUUGUGGCUAAUUUGUUAGUCCUACAAAGGCAGUCUAGUCCCCAGGCAAUAAGGUUUGUUUUGGGAAAGGAUUGUUACUGUCUUUGUUUUAAACCAUAAACUAUAAAAUAAUUUCCUCCCAAAGUCAAUUCAGCCUACACCCAGGAAUGAACAAGAACAGCCUGAAGGUUAGAAGCGAGAUGUAGUCAGUUAGGUCAGAUCUCUUCCACUGUCUCAGUUACAAUUUUGCAAUGGCAGUUUCAAUCCCUCCCUUUGGGUUUUAUAACACCUUAACCUCAAGAUGUUGGCAAUUGAAGAUGGAAAAAGAGCAAAGACUGCUCUAACUUCUUCCUGCUGAUCAAGGGCAUAGUGAGGUUUCAGAGGAUUCACCAAGAUGUCCUGUGGAUUUGCUGACCAGAGCCAGGUAGACUUCAUCCACAGAAAAGUGCACCACAUGGGCAGUUGAAG